CUGGAGGAGUUCGGAUGGUAUUGUAGAAGCUCGGACAGCCGGAGAAGUUCAGAAAGAUGCCGCACAAGGUCGGAAGUCGGAAGAGUCCUAGGAGGAUUGGCCUCUUACGAACUUCGACUGGGAUUAUUUUAUACCCAACAUAUAUUAUAUAUAUACACACUGUUGGAUCUUUUUAUUAUGAUUAUUUUAUAAUAAUAUAGAGAUGUAGAAAUUUUGACAAAAAAUUUAUUUAUAAGAUCAGAUAUAUCAAUAGAUAAAGACAUAUAAUAUGUCAGGGUGGAUUUGAUUGGGGCGGAGCAAGUUG
rnacentral:lncRNA from 1 species